GCUGAUUGCAACCUUGAUGAAGAUACUCAAUCCCUUUAGCUAUACCAAGAGCAACGUGUUGAAGCUUCUCCCAUCCGAGGAAAUGGUCCUUGUCUUCUGGUGGAAAUAUGAAGCUUUGUAAGGAACCGUUUGGAAAGAAAUUGUAGGCAAGUGCACGAUGGGGUCCAUCUGCACAGAAGCCAAGCAAACGCACGACGUUGAUGUGAUGGAUUUUGCCCAUAAUUCCGACUUCGUUGAUGAACUCAUUCCCCUCUCCCUCCGUAUUGUUGAGGAUCUUCACAGCCACCGGAAUCUCACUCGAAAGUUUUCCUCUGAACACAGCCCCAUGAGCUCCUUCUCCUAGCUUUUCUUUGAAGCCAUUGGUGAUUCUUUUCAGGUCAGCGUAGGUGAAUCUUGCAGGCUUUUCUGCCCUGUAGUCCUCUAAAAACUUGUCCACUCUUGCUUGGUCUUCUUGCUUUUUCCUAAAAUAGAGGAUGCUCAUAAAGACAGCAAUGACCACCAUCCCCAAAAGGAUCGAACCUAGAAUAGCAGUUGGAGACUUCAUUAAAAAAAGAAAGAUUUAUGUACUUGUUUCAGUCUUUACACUGAAACAUUACUUGUUUCAAUUCAUACGCUUAUACUUUAUAAGGCCAUACAAUUGUUGACAUCCUAAACUGUUGGAAUAAGGAAUUGAACUAUAUUAAAAAGCGAAUGUGUAAGAGUCUCUGAUGUUACCUGUAGAAGCAAAAAUAAAAGAUUUAGGAACGUGAAUUCUCUUCGGUUUGCAUUUAAAACAAUCGAUGUCUCCUGUAGAGUUGUUGGUCUUCCAUGUACAUCUCUUGCCUUUUCUUUUGCACUCAGCACAAUUUGGUUUGGACCAUCUCAAAAUCAAGUUAUAACAGCAAUAGCGUCAUCAGUGCAGAAUCAUGUUGGAGGAGCAACACACUUGCCAUUUUGAUUUCUUACGGGAAACAGCUGUUAACCGAGCUUCCUCUUUUAGUUUAUGCUAACACUUCUAAUCUGUAUUUGUUUUUUACAUUUGCAAUCAGUUGCAGAAACCACAGAAAAGAUAAAAAAGAAGACCUGCGAUUUCUCAUUAGUCAAAGUCUUGCUGAUAAAAAAUAAAUAAAAAAAUUAGUCAAAGUCUGCGUUUUAAAAUAGUUCUUUUAAUGGAAAAGUGAAGUCCCUUAAUUUGGUCCGUACGUGUCACAUUUAAUUCUAUGAAUGUCAAGGUAGGUGCAUAUUAAGUGCCAAGAAUUGACUCCGCCAAACAACAAUAAUGCAGUGAGAGUCACUCUCGUAUACAAGACCACCUUUUCAAAUUCUUGGAAAUUCACUGCCACAAAAGUCCUAUAUCUUCAAUGCGUAAUAAUGCAGAAAAGUCAAGCCAAAGACUAAUGAGCAGUGCAUGUGACAACAACAAAAGUUUGUUCCAAGAAACUCUCUCUUUACUUUCAAUUUAAAAAAAAAAAACUAAUGAAGUUAAAUAUAAGCAAAUUUCAACAUCGUAAACCAUACUUAUCUUUAAACAUAAGCGCAUCUUCCAAUAAAUAUAUUUGGGAUGUUUUAGUAAAAGUAUCUCUAUGGUUGAAAAUGAAACUAUUAAAUAAACUUAACUUAGAAGUGACAUUAAUGUGAAAAAAAAAACUUUGUGGUUCAUUCAUAAAAAAAUUAGUUGUUAAAAUUUCGAAUUUAAAGAAAAAAAAUAGUCAAGAAACUCGAUACAUCGAAAAGGAAUGGGUAAAGAGUUAUGAGUCUGAGGAAAAUCAUAAAAGAAUAGAAGAAAAUGUUUUUCUUUCACAAAAUUACUCAAUGGACAUGUAUUUUUUGCUUGUAAGAUAAGUGGGACAUUAACAACAUUAUUCUAGGUGUGUAAUUAGUAGUGUAAAACAUAUUUGUUGAAUAAAGGUCUUUAAAUAGGAUAUUUUUUAAAUUUGUGACACUUAUCGUUAUAUUUUGGUAACUUUCAUUUUAGUUUCUUGAAGUUUUUUUUUCCAAUUUCUUAGAGUUUCAUUCUUGCAAACAUACUCUCCUGUGAAUACUUAACGCGUUAGCUACAACAUUGUACGAGUUGAUACGCACAACGUUUAGUAUCCAUCGUCUACUACUAGGACUAUUGGGACAUCUAAUCUCAUUCGUUCCCCUAACUUUCGUCUCUCUCAAUGUUAAUGUCGGUCUAGCAAAGUGUUUUCGUCAUUGAUGUUUAAUUUUGUACCUUUAUUUUCAUCAAAUACUUCUAAUCUGUCUAAACUUUUUUAUUUAUUUUAUUUUAUAUAAAAUAACAUGUCUUCACUAUGAAUGUUAUAUUCUCACUAAGUUCCCACAUCAACACUCACCAAUCGUUGAGAGCAUGUUAAACCAAGAAAAGAAAAAAGAAAGCAAAUAUAAGGAGACUAUAUAGGUUAAAGUCAUGAAACAAAUCACUAAAUAAUAUUCUAGAAAGUAAAAUCUAUUUCAUAAAAAUAUGAAUACAUAAAGAAUUUCAUCAAAGAAAAUCAGAUUUGAUAUUAACAACCAAAUUAACUAAAGUAUCAACAUAUUUAUUUUCUUCCUGAAAAUAUGAGAAAUUUUAAAAUCCAAAAAAUUACUUAUGAACUGACAUUUAUUUGAUCUACUUCUAAUUGUCUAAGGGACCUUAACAUUGGUAUAAAAAGCUUGAACCACAUAUGAGUGAAAUUCCAACAAUAAUGAAUUACAUCCUUUCAAAUGGGUAAGUUCAAUAGCGAUCAUUAGCAAAAACUACAUUAACAACAUUGUUAAAAAUAUUAAAAGUGUAAUAUCCAAAAAUUUAUAAUAUUUUUAAAUACAGUAAUAUAACUGUUCUAGCCAACUUAAGGUCGGUCGGAAUCUGGAUGAGCUCCUUGUGGUCUCCCUGCAAAUGCCUUCUGGAAACGAGAGGGGACUAUUCCUGCGAUGACACUCUGACGCUCAAGUCAGUAAAAGCAUAAAUAUAAUGAGUAUAAUAUGAAAUAGGAGUUGAGAGUACUCCCUGUGUUGUUUAUUAUAUGUUUAGAUGAUGUCCCUUUCUGUAGAGCAUAAUCAGGUAUAUAUAGACUGAAUUGUAACCUCUCCACCUUUAGUCAUGACUAUGUCUUAGUUGAGUCAUGAAGGAUGAUUAAGUCUAAUUAUCGAGAUCUUUUGGCCUGUGAUCUCUCAUAAUGAUAGAUACACAGGUGGGGAAACGACGACCCAUAAAUGAUCAAACAUCGGGCCAAAUCCAUGAUCCAACAAUAACGUUUAACAAUAAGGUCUUUGUAAGAUCGUCUAAUAAUAAUAAUGAGACUAUCUAAUGAGGAAUCUAAUAAUUUGUUAGACGCUUAGCCUGUACAAAUCAUUAUUUGAAUAAAAAAAUAUUUUAUUUGAUUUUAUUAUUUUUAAAACAUAAAAUCAUAUAGUUUUAAAUCAAGAGAUCAUCUAAUCUCCUGAGAUUGAGAACUCUAAAAAAAAAUAAAAGAAUAACAUUCUCACAGAUAUCACAAUAAAAACUCACUCACUACAAUGAUUAAACACUUAAUAUAUAUAUAUAUAUAUAUAUAUAUAUAUAUAUAUAUAUCCAUUUUAUUUGGCUUGUUUUACCCUCUUCUACUAUUUCAAAUUCUUUAAAUAAGUGUUGUACUUAUUCUAUACUUUUCGAAACUAUUAAUUUUUAUUUUCUAUGAUAUUUCCAAAACUUUCAUCUUCUUAGCACUAGAUACUCAGAUUCAUCACGGUAAAACAUGAUUUGAAAAACAUAUAUGAAAUAUUUAAAUUCUUUAAAUUUAGAUGUUUAAAAUCAAUAAGAGAUACUCACAAUAUAUUAGAAAGACGUUACAAAACUUAAUUUGACAAAUUUACUAAAGAAAAAACAUAAUUCAUAACCGCACCAAAAAUAUGGGCUAACAGAGUAUGUUUGAACUGCAAUUAUUUCAAUAAUAUUUGCAAUCUAUCCCAGUAAGUUAAAAUUGGUUCAAAACAAUUUUUUUGGAAAAUAUACUAGAAAAACCUUUUGCUUCCUAAAAAUAUUCAUUGUUACUAUUUUCCUAUUUAAAUCACUUAAAGUUAUAUACAUUCAUAUUAUACAAAGAACAUAUUAGACGCUUUAAAACGGUCUAAUGCUCUUUAAUUAUCUAGUAGGUUACCUAGAAUCUCAACAAAAUAUAUACAUAUAUAAUAAUUAUAAAGAGGAUUUAUCUUAUCAAAUAAGAGAUAAGUAUAAUAAGAGUAAAAAUUUGUGAUGAUAAAUACUGUAGAUAAAACAAAAUUGACUAAGACUUAAGUUUAUACAUCAAUUAUCUUCUUAUAUCUUACCAAGUCAUCUUAACAUUUGUCAUGACACCUCAUCUAUUCCAAAACUAAAGAGUUCACAAAAGAAAAAUGUAAAUACCAAUAAUUUUUUUAUUACAAACAUAUCUUUCCAGUUAGUACUAUUCUAUUUUCUUAUAAUGAUUACUUUAUUGUAACUAUAAAAUUGUGUAUUAUUGGUUGCACUUCCUUAUAAAUAAUAUAAGUUUUACACACGAAAAUAUGUAAGAAUAUUUGAGUGUGACCAACUCAACAUCGGUUAAUGUACAACUUAAAGAAUAACUAUCUCGCGUUAAAAGGAGUAAAGGAAAAAAUAAAGAAAUUCACACAUAAACCUAUAAAUCUUAUGAAGACGGAUAUUAAUGAAAGUCGUAUAUUUGCCAUAAGUCUAGACGUGUGAGAUGGACUUUUGGUUACAUUCUAAAAAUGAACUUGUAAUAUAAAUUGUCUUCUUCGUUGUGGAAAAAAUAAUACAUAAAGGUAAACUCGAAAACUAAAAAAUAGACAUCAUAAUAUUAACUAAAUUUUUGUACCCGAACACAAAUAUUGCGUUCUUCAUGAAAAAAAGUAUCUUGAGAUGGAAGGAAGUAGUUUCUCUUCCCAACGAGUUUGUCGCAUGAUGAGAAAUUUAUUUGUAAAAAUGAUCUUAGGAUCAAAUUAAUUAGAAUCUAGAAAAUUAUUAUAAGCAUAUAAGUAAGUAUGAUAAUUAAAUAAAUAUUUCUUAUAAAUUUAAUUUUUAUUUAUAAGUAUUUUAACUUAAAUUGUGGUAUUCGAAAGAUAUAAGUUACAGAUAGUAUUACUCCUAACAUUAUGGUUUUUUUUAAUUUAGAAAACUUUUUAUAUUUAUAUAUGUUGAUUUAAUAUGCUUAUGUGGGCCGCAGCUCCAUUUCAAAAUUUAAAGUAUACACAUAUUUUAAAUUUUAUAGUUUAAAUGAAGUGAACAAAAUUAUUAAGUGUCCAUUGAUUUUUAAUUUAUAUAUGCGUACAUGCCUACAUAUAUACCCACUUAAUUUUUAGAAAAAAAAAAUACCCUAACAAUUUAUGUUUUAAGAAAGUUGUAAUUAUAACUCAUUUAAAUACACGUCUGCUAAAAUAAAAUAAGUAUAAAUUAUUACAAUUAAUAUUUAUAUAUUUUAAUCUUCUUGUCACAUCAUUUCUUUUUUUUUUUCACUUUUUUUUUUUAUAAUUGUGUUUGGUACGUAAGACUAAUAAGUUAACUAGUAGCUUCUUUGACUAGUUUAUAAACUACUUUGACCAACACAAAAGUAUUUGGUAAGAUAUAUAAAAGUUGUAAUUAUAACCCAUUUAAAUACACGUCUGCUAAAAUAAAAUAAGUAUAAAUUAUUACAAUCAAUAUUUAUAUUCUUGUCAUAUCAUUUAUUUCUUUUCACUUUUUUUUUUAUAAUUGUGUUUGGUAAGACUGGUUGCUUCUUUGACUAGUUUAUAAACUAACUUUGACCAACACAAAAGUAUUUGGUAAGAUAUAUACAUAUAUUUUACUUUGUGAGAUUAUAACUUAUUACUUAUAAAUUACUUCAAGUAUUUUGUAUCUUUUUAGCUUAUUUAAUUUUUUUUCAUUAUUCUAUUUUAUAUUUUGAUAUAUUUUUAUUAUCAUCUUUAUAUUUUUUUUUAUCUAUUUUUACUUUUUUUUUUAAUUUUACGAGGACAAAGUUUUUACUUCUCCAUCUUCAAUCACACUUUCAGUAUCUCUUCAUGCUCCAUCAAUUUUAAUGAUGUACUCCAAAUUUUUAAGUGUCUGAAAGACUUGAAUAGAACAAGUUUAGGAUAGAUAAAUGCAUUGUUAAAUUAUUUAUAUAAGAGAUGUAUUUGAUGAAACUCGUUAAACGCAACUUCAAGAGGACAUAUAUAUUGUUUAAAAAAAUUUCAAAACAUAUUUUUGUAAAACUAUCCUUUUUAAGUUAGGUGCACAUAAAUAACGUACAAUAUAAAUAGAUAAGAUAUUAGAGAGAUUUGCACACAAUAUUAUAUACUAGUUGAUUUGAAAUACUUAAAUUACGAUAAGGGUUUUGACUCACUAAAAGGGAAUAAUGUCCUAAUAUAAAUUAUAAAUUGAGUACUUUUUUCUAGGUUGCUAUGAAUACAAACAAUGUUCUUCCUCACAAAACAAAAGGUUAAUGAUUCCUUCAAAAUUGGAGAGCAUUAAGUGUUUUUCAAAGUACCAUCGUUGUCAACCUUUCUUCUUCGUAUAUAUAUCUUCUUUAUAAAGAGCUGAGAAGAAAAGAGUCAUUACAAAUAUUUUUUGGAGUUGUUAUGAGAAUUUGCAUCCUUAGUUUUCUUAGUCUUAUGUUUGACAAUGUUCAGCACGUAGACGCAUUGAAUGCUUUCCAUGAAACGUUUAAAACAUGUGUCUUCUUUACGCAAAUUCUCUUACACACGAUAUGACUUAUCUAGCUUAGGCAGAUUGUGUUACGUAUAUGACCUGAGAUAACUUGCUGACUUCAUAGGACUUUCAUUUCAUCUUUUCAGAAAGUUGUUUGCGUGGAGUAGCUUUACACAUGUUUUUUAAGAGAUUUUGAUUUUAACACUUUAAAACAAGAUAUAUUUGAGAGAAAUGAAGAAACAAACAUUACUUGUACACAAAGAAUAAGCUUUAUAAGUCUUCAAUAUGUACUAUGAAUGCUUAGGCUUUCAUAUCAACUUUAUUUGUUCAAAUAAAAACUUAUAAGACGAAGUAAUAGAGGACCACAUUAGCUAAAGCCACUUUUUCUUUCAACUAAGAGUAAAUGAUCAUUUUGAAAGAAUACAAAAAGUAAUAUCUACCUUAGUCUUGUAUAAAUUUGUAAAUAAUAGAAUAGUAUUUUUCUAGCUUUGUAUUUCUAAGCCAAUUAUAGAAUAGGAAUAUCCUUCUCUCCAAACAAGACUAGUCACCUCCAAUCAAUCCUUGCCAUGUGUCAACGCAAGAGUUUAGAGUUCCUUAUGUUUAGGAUUGUAACAUGGCAAACUAGGAAUUGAGAGUAUUGAUAAGUGCCUAAUUUCAGUAAUAUUUCAUAUUAAAAUAUAGGCACUUAUGAGGAUUUAUUGUUAAUUUAUAUAUAAAAUCAUCCCUAAUUUAUGAAUUUAUACCUUUUUAUAUUUUUUAUGAUCUUUAUUUGAAUAAGAGUAUUUUAUUGCCGAAUUUGGUGUUAAUUGCAGAUUUUUAAGGAAGAUUGAAGAUUUGGAUUUAAGAUGAAUGAUUUGAGCUAAAAAGAUAAAGAUAGAAGGUCCCAGAAUGGAAAAAGAUGCAAAGAAAGAUUGGGCUUUUUUUUAUGUUUUAUCAUUUAGCCCAUUAGCGCGACAUAGGAAGCAACCUAACCCUAUAAAACUAGGAUAAAUAGAGGGCUAGAAGCUCAACUGUAGUGUGCCAAAUUGAGAGUAAAACACCAUAGAGUGAAUUGUAACCCAAUUGGGAGAAUGGAAGGUGCUAGAAGUAUGCGUGGCUAAUUCUACCCUNNNNNNNNNNNNNNNNNNNNNNNNNNNNNNNNNNNNNNNNNNNNNNNNNNNNNNNNNNNNNNNNNNNNNNNNNNNNNNNNNNNNNNNNNNNNNNNNNNNNUUGAGAGUAAUAUGCUCAAUCUCUUAUGUAUUGAGGUGAUAUCUUAUAUAUUAAUAUUCAGUUCUUGAUUGAUUAUUGGUAUUGUUGUUUUACUUUUAACUUUCCGUGACAAAUUGAGAAUCUUAAAUUUGACCGAGAGGUAUUUUUAGGGUUUGGACCUAAACAUCAAUACUUAACAUAUUUGAGUGCUAGGGAUAAACUUGAAAUGUUAAUUGCCAUUAACGUCUGAGUGUGAUUCUAAGUUGUUUUUAUAAAUAUGUGAGGGAUCGAUAUUUAGGAAACAUUCUUAAGGAUUUUAUAUGCGAGAGAUCGAUAUAAAUGAAUUUUCUACGGGCAUCAAUUUCAAUAAAAGAACUCAAUAUUAACAUGCUAAUCAAAAUACAUGAGAGUGGGAGAGAUGAAACUUAAUCCCUAUUUUUCCAAUUGAAGCAACUAACUCUUUGUUUGUUUUCUUAUUGAUCAGUGCCAACACAAUCACUUCUAAACUCUUUUUAUUCUUAUUCUUAUGUUGUUAUAUUUAGCGAAUAUUGUAUUCGAUAAUUCACUGUUCCUUGUGGGAUCGAUAUCCGUCCUUAGGGACAAUUAUUACUUUUGACAAACGCGGUACACUUGCCGUAAAAAGUCAUCAAGUAUUUUGAGAACUCAAUAGUCUUUUUAGGAGUCUCCUUAGGCUAUAAAUAAGAGACUCCUCUCUUAUAAUUUUCAAACUUGAUUGAUAUAUGAAAUUGUGUUUAUGAAAUUCUUAGUGCAUUCUAUCUAAGUCUCUAUCUAUGAUGUUUCUUGCAUUAUUAAAAACUCAAGGAAGUUGGUCUAACCUCUUCCUUGACCCUUGCACCUUCUAAACUCACACCCAAACCCAUAAACCUCCAUAGUCAUUCGAUGUUUCUUCUACAAAUCUACAAGUCUUUCGCCGCUUUCCAUCAAUUACAUCCAAUACACAAGAAGAAUUGUAUCAUGAAGUGUACAAUGAAAGUGUUUGUGUGUUCAAUCAGAUGAAGUAAGAAUAAUUGCAUCUUUUCAACGAGACAAAAGACAUAAAAAAAAUGUUUAUGUAUGUCGAAAACUGAUACUAGUAAACUAUUAUGCUUUAUACUAUGUUGUUUAAGUACAAAAUAAAAAACUCAUUUAAAGAAUUCGUUGAGUAGGUAUCAAAUAUUUAUUGUAAUAUUUUUUUAUUGAGUUACUUCUUUAUUUGCUAUGUAGUUCAAAUUAAAGAAAAAAAAUCAACAAUGAAAUAACUAAUAUUUUAUUACAUAAUUUAUUACACAUAACUAAGAUUUUAAUACACAGAAUAAAAGUUGUAAAAAAAAUAGACGUAACCCUUAAAAUUGAGAAAUAAAAAAUUCUAAAACAAAUAAAAUUUAAAUGUAAUUAAUCAACUAGCUUAAAUAAAAUGACUUGACUAAAUAAAGAAAACAUAUCUAAUUUUAAAAUAAUAAAAAUGAUAAAUUUUUUGAUAAAAAUAUUAAAGACUUUUUAAAAUUUUAAAAUUAUAAUUAUAUAAAAUAUACUUUUACUGUAAAUAUAUAAAUUUUCUUUUACUGGUUUAUACACUGUUCGUGUGUUCGUGAAAUCUGUCUUUAAAUGUCAGCUUGGAUUGUGUUGGCAGUAGAAGUUUAAACAGAAAAGAGUUUGGGAGUAACCAUGUGGAGAGAGAGAGCUUUGAUAAUCUUGGUGUUUCUGCUCCACCUAAUUCAUGGAGAAGAUGCUUGCCCCCCCUCUUCCUGUGGGAAAAUCAGCAACAUAUCUUAUCCAUUCCGAUUGAAAGGAGACGCAAAAGGGUGCGGUCUCACCGGCUAUGAGCUAUCUUGUAAAAACAAUAUAGCGCUCUUCUCUUUGUACUCGGGAACAUUUCAUGUGCAGGCCUUCAACUACAAUAAUUUCACAAUCCGAGUGGUGGAUCCUGGACUUCAACAAACAAACUGCUCUUCUCUUCCUCGCUAUUUCUUCUCUCCAUCCAAUUUCACUCCUUCUUACCAACCAAUUCCUCCGUAUCUCCAUUAUUAUAGUCCCAAGAAUACUUCUUCUUACCAAACAAUUCCUUCGGUUUACCGGUAUUAUUAUACCGAGCCGCUUGUUUAUGAGCAUAUAGUGUUUUUGAAUUGUAGCCAUGGAGUGACUGAGAUCCCUAAGUAUGUGGAUACUGGUGGAUGCGUGACUUGGGAGUCGACCGGCUACAUAUACACUGUGGCUGGUGACCUAAUUGCAGAGGACAUUGAAGUUGGUUGUGAUGUGAAGCUGGUUGCUCCCACAUCUUGGUGGGGUUUGGACACAAAUACAUAUUCAUAUGCCAUGAUGCAUACUGCGCUAGUCUAUGGAUUUGAGCUUUCAUGGAUUCCUCUCGUCUGUCAUGAUCGUUGUGCAGAUACUGACUGCUAUUUCAGUUCUUCUAGCCAGACCCUUGAAUGCUACAAAGAAGGUAAGGCAGUUCAGACUCUGUUUUUAAUGUUUCUUUUUACAAGUAAAACUAAACCCAAUUGUUCGGUUAAAUUUGAGUUUGUUUAUUUUUUAUUUUUUAUAUUUACGAGCUAAACACUCUAUCUGUACAUUUUUUUAUUAUAAAUUUUUAUAAACACGUGUAUAUUAUUUUGUAUAUUAUGUGAGUUUUUUAUUAUAUCAAAAUAAAAUAAUAAAAUAUAUUAUAUAUAUUAUAUUGAAUUUACAUUAUAAAAAAAUUAAUUAUAAGGAAUCAAAUAUUUUAAAUAUUUAUAAUUUAAUUAAAUGUAAAAUGUGAAUAGUUAUUUUUUUAUAAUUAGUUCUUUUCCCUGUAUUUUAUAUUUAUUUUGUAAAUUUGUAUUGUAAUUUAAACAUAUCAUUAAAGAUAACAUAGAAAAAAUUGUAUAAUAAUAAAAUAUUAUUAAAUAUUAUUAUAAAGUAUAGAUAAAUAUAUCUAUAUAUUUAAAAAAAUCAAACCUUAUUAAAUCAUUUUAUAAAAAUAGUUGGCUUUCAAUUCACCUAUUUCCAUAAAAUGCUUCAAAGCCGUCUGAAACCGUUUAAUUUAGUUUGUUUUUCUUAUAGUAAAUAAAUAAAGUAAAAAUUAUUAAACAAUUUCUGUAAUAAUAACAAUAGUAAUGAUAUAAUCUUUAAUAAUCAAUAAAGGAUUCUCUUGUACUUAACUUUUUUUUAUAUAUUUUAUUAUAAUUUUUCUUUGAUGUUUUGGAGGCUGCUCUUUAUUAUGAAUUAUCAUAAUAACUAAAUUUUUAAUUCUCUAAGUUUUGAAUUUACGUUUAUGUAAUUGAUUUUGGUAUUCCCCUGAUAUAAUAACGUUUUGAUAACUAUUUCUUCGUUAUUCUGAUUAAGGUUAAGUGUUUUGCAUAGUUAUUGUAAACUUGUUUUUAGCAAGAUUUAAAGAUUUACUAAAUUCUUUUUCAGAUGUCAAUGCUUAUUGUAUUUAUUGCUAUAGUCAUAGUGAUUUCAUUCUUUUGAUUCAAAACUUCACACUUUAAAACAAUAAUCUUUGUCCACUCUAUAAUUUGCAAAUCUUUCUAAUUAAUUUUUUUUAUGUUAAGAGAAAUUGAUAUUUUUUCUUUCAUUAAUCACUGACUAAAGGUAAUUUGUAUUUAUCUCCAUUAUCUUCUUUAAUAAAUACCUAUAUUUAUUCAAUUAACUCCCCAUAUAAAUAAGAGAUAUUUAUCCAUUAUCACUAAAACCGUCUUUUACCUAUUCAAAAAACUAUAUUUUAACAUCUUAGAUUUCAGUUCCGUAUUAUCGAUAAAACAUCACUUCAUUAAUUAAAUAUUUUUUAAGAAAAGUUAAUUUAUGAUAUGCAUGAACUCAUGUAUAACAUUUUUUGGUUUCAAAAAGAAAUAAAAGCAUUUAGAUAGAUUAUGAACAUAACCUUUGUGAAAUUAUGUAAAUAGUCUUGCUUGUUGCGUUGUGCUUCUCUGAUAUUGAUACUCUGUUCUUUUUGUAUGAAUAGCUUGGUGGCUGCACUAUGUUUCAGGUCAGAAUUCUACCUCUUUGGAUUACCUAUGUUUGAAUUGGUACGUAAUACCAAAAACUAAUUUUGAUUCUACAUAAUUAUCAUGUUACCUAUUACACAUUUUUUCAUGCUUAAAUAUAGUUUUAAUCUUUUAAUUUAAAUUUGAAAUUUUUAUAUUGUUCUUUCAAAUUAAAAUUGUUUUCCCUUCCAUUUUAAAAUGAUUUUUUUUCCUAUUCUCGGUUUAAGCAUUCAAAUACUAAUUGUAAUUGAGAACAAAAGAUAACGACUUAUAUAUAUAUAUAGAGAACCCUUGUGAUAGGUUAAUACUGCAUCAGGUUUGCAGUUUUAGCUAUAGACCAUUCUCAAAUCUAUAUUGGAUAAGUAUAACUUCAACACUAGAAUCUUUUUACAUUCCUAAUCUAGUAAUUGUAUGUCACAUCCUUAAUCUAGUAAUUGUAUGUGAUGUGGUGCUUAGGCCUACUCUAUUUCUAUUCAUAUCCUUGAUAGAGUUGUAAGUAUUGUUGCUCAAAGCUAUGUCGAGCCUCCACUGCAAUAGAGAAGUAAUUCACUUUUUUUUUUUUUUUAUAUCCAUGCUCAUGUACACACACCUUUCCAACCUUUGGUUACCAAUCAUGACAUAGAGUUAUUCUCAGAUAUUAUAACAUGAAAAAAAAAAAACACUCAUCAUCCUCAAAGAUCCUCAAAGAGGUGACUUUAACUACACUAAAAGUUUUACCAAUUUUUCUAAGGAUAAUCAUUACAAUUAUGCAAAACAACAAACAUAUAUUCCAAACAAGAACCAUCACAGAUAUUCAACAAUUCAACUACUUCUUCCUUCGUAUUCCAGUAGGUUUUUUUUUUUUUACAUUUUUUACAACUUGGAACUAAACAACAUUUGAGAUAAAAAAACAUAACCAUUUUCCCUUUUCAGUUCCUUCACUCUGCAUCGACAACAAAUAUAGCCAGUAACAAGGUCACUCUGCACUUUCAAGCCCUUCCCUACAUUUUUGUUACAACUUAUAGCGACAAACUCUACAAUAUUUUCACACCCCUCUACCACUUCAUUUUAUUCACUAGUCACAAGUUUUUUUAUAUAUAACACCCAAUCCGAAUAGGAGAAAUUAGUUGUAGGCACGUUAUGGGUCAGCCAUACCCACACAUUCAGUUGUGUCAUACAAAAUAUUUCAUGUAUACUUUCCCUUCCUUAAAGAUAAUCUUGUUUCAAUGGUUCCAAAUUGUCCACACAAUAACUAUCCAUACUUCCUUCCAUAUUAUUUUUAUCUAUCAUUUAAAUUCACAUAGUUUAAAGUUUGGAAAUGUUCCAUUAUGUCCCAGUUGUGUACAAAUUAGAUCCUAACCAAUUUAUCACACAUAACCUAGACAAUAUAAGAUUUAUUACAGUGUAGUAGAAUAUGAUUAAGUUACUCAUUUUCCAUUUUACAACCACAACUAGAAAUAUCACCAAUUUGUAACUUGCCUAAAACUCUAGUUACUAAGUAAUUUAACCCAGAAAAAUAAACAUGUCCAAUAUAUAAAGAUGACAGAGAUGAUAAAUCAAUAGUGGAGGUUGUCACAACUAGAUUCUUUAACUCAUCCAAUAUAUAAAGUCCCCUUAUCUACAACUUUCCUAUUCAGCCUUCCAGAUUGAGGAUCUUACACAUAACAAUUAGUAGAAGAAAAGGGAAACAAGUUAAAGGUACAGUUGAUUCCAUAAGGGAGGUUGAAUGGAGCCUAAACUGAAAUCUCAAACCUAAAAAACAAAGCAAAUGCAAAAUCUAACAAGUAAUAAAUAAACAGAGAGAAAUGCACACAAAAUUUAUAUUGGUUCACCCAAUAAUAAGGGUUAUGUCCAGACCGUUUGAGUAGGCUAGUCAAGAGCCUUUUAAUAUCACAAGUAUUAUACGUCUCUUCAGGUUAUACAAAUAUUGUCCACCUCUUAAGGUACACCAGUAUUCUUAUAGUUUUACAGGUCACCAGUCCCAAUCUCUCCCUUAGAUCAAGACCUUUCAAUAUAAUUAGAAAACACUUUCAUUUUAAGAGAAAAAUAAAAAGUCAUAGGGUAUACUUCAUAGUUUGAAGAAUUUACAAUGGUUAAGUUCACAACCCAAUUCUCACAAAUCACUCUACAAUAGCUUAUAUGAAUGUGUAUGCACAAAUCUAAAGCACAACUUUAAAAUCAUUUAUGUACUUUUUGAAUGUUCAUCAUCUUCAAGGUCUUUAUAUAACUUUUUGAAUAUGAUCGUUGAGACAUUAAGGUUCUUCACUCUUCAUAAUAGCUAUUAGACGCUCGAUUUUUAGAAAUAAUUACUCUUGAUUGAUCUUUGCAUGUUUUGAGCAUGUGAGGCAUUUCAAAUUGUGUCUUUUUGUUCUUCCUAAUCGAAAAAAAUGCACGCGGAAGCAACACACAUAAUCAAAAAUCAACUGCAGAAAAUAAACAACACAGGAUUUAACGUUGUUCGGUCGCCAACUGCAACCUACAUCCACACGGACAACUAUUAGGUUUUCAUUUCUGUCCUAUUGCACACCAAUUACAAGUACAAUGAUCUCUUUAAAUAGAAAUUAUAAAGGGGACACAAUGAUUAAGUCCAUUCACUAAACAUGGUGUCUAAUCGGCCCAACCCAAUUGGUCCUGACUUCAUACCCAACAAUCUCCCACUUGAAGCCACAUAACAAUGUUCACCUGCAUUUCAACUGUGUACAUGUACUUCUGUAAUCUGUCGACGAAACUCAAUGUUCCACCACUAGUUGCCACCAGCCUUCUUAAUCAUUUUGAAGACUUCGUUAAAACUCCCCUGAGUUUCAACACGUCAGUCAUGAUUGAAACUGUCACUGACCCGUUCUCUGUUCCUACCGGCUCCCACUUGCAAGAACUGACGGAUCCUGGAACAACCUGAGAACAAACACUUUCCAUAUUCAACAAGAAAUUUUCUGGAAAAGUUUCAACAGCUAGAAUACUGGUUCUCCUAACCCACUACCGUCUAAGAACCUCAGCUGAAGCAGGACUCGUGCUCCCACUGCCAUAAGUACCUCUAACUGGUCUACCUGAACCUUUCCAUGCUCGUUCAUCCUGAAUCUGACUUGUGGCUCUAGGUUUCUCUCUUGUAAAGACAACCCUCUUCUGCCCACGAGAUUCUGUGAACCGGACUUUGUUUAUCUUCUGAACUGGGACGGUCACUCCCUCAGACGGUAAUCCGACCAUAUACAGUGAACCUCCCUUUCUUCCGCAGGCCAUGACAAGAUUUCCCUUGACGACCUUCCACUGCUGAUUUCCGAACUUCACAUAAUGUUCCUGUUCGUCCAACUACCUAACAAAAAUCAAACUUUAAGUCAAGCUUGGAACAACUCUGACAUCCUUCAAAGUCCAAAAACUGACUGACGUCUUCAACACUAUGUCACCCAUGCCCGUAACAUCAAUAGUUUUGUUGUCUGCUAGUCUUACCUUUCCAAAGUCUCCAAUAACUAGAUUAUGCAAUGCUUCAGAACUCAUGACCCAGGAAUUCACACUGCUAUCCGCGCAACAGACUAAAAGGUCCUCGUCCGCGAAGUCUUCUGCAAUGUUGACUUAUUUAUCAUUUGGGCAUUGAUUCCUGAAAUGCCCCACCUCCUUGCAGAUCCAACAUGUUACACUUGAGCAAUUCCGAGUCUUUCACUAACUCCUUCUUUUGUUCUUGCUUCCACUAUCCCUAAUAUUUUUCUUACCUCUAAUGACAUAUAGUGAUUCACUACAUAAUUCCCCAUAACUCCUUCUUCGAACAUCCUUACCAAGAAUGAGAUCACGAAUCUUCUCAAAAGUGAAUCCAUCGGAUCCUGCUGAAGUGGUAACUGUUGUAACCGUUCCAGACCAACUGUUAGGCAAAGACAAUAGCAGUAGUAAAGCUUGAACUUCAUCAUUGAACUUAAUGCCCACUGACAUAAGUCUGGCUAAGAUCAAAUUCAUUUUAUUAAUGUGCUCAGCAACUGAACUGUCUUAAAUUCGUGUCGCAACGAAAAGCAGCCACACCCUGCACCUAGCACCGCACCGUCACUACUGCACUAGCAGAUUAAAGCACGCGCCACUCUGCGUCUUCCGUUACUGUUAUCACACUGCACCUCUAUGUCGUCUCGCUCACCGCAAGAACCUGCACGUGUUAGCCGCGAAACACGAUCCGUCGUCGCACUGCCUGGACAUGACCCUACUACGAGCAACCCACACCGCUACACGUCGCACCGCCUACUGUGUGCACCUACCGCGAGUCGGAGGUCUGGGCUGUCGCGAAUCUUGGGCCACUGUGAAACCCUAACUUUGGGACGCCGCUGCAACCCCUACGAAACCCUAGCUUUGUGACACUGCUGCCGCCUCUAUGAAACCCUAACUCUGGGAUGCUAUUGCAACCCCUGUGAAACCCUAGCUUUAAGACGUUGUUGUCGCCUCUGCGAAACCCUAGCUUUGGGACGCUAUUGCAGCCCCUACGAAACCCUAGCGUUGGGACGUUGAUGUCGCUUUGCGAAACCUUAGCUUUGGGACGCUGUUGCUGCCUCUGCGAAACCCUAGCUUUGGGACGCUACUGCAACCUCAAUUUUCAUGUCUUGUCAUCGAUUAAUUCUGCUGAUUAGAUCUCUAGUGUCUAAACGAACCAAGCUCUGAUGCCACUUUAUGGGAAAAGACGCACGCGGAAGCAACACACAUAAUCACGAAUCAACUGCAGAAAAUAAACAACACAGGAUUUAACGUGGUUCGGUCGCCAACUACAACCUACAUCCACACGGGCAACUAUUAGGUUUUCAUUUCUAUCCUGUUGCACACCAAUUAAGUACAAUGAUCUCUUUAAAUAUAAAUUAUAAAGGGGACACAAUGAUUAAACCCACUCACUAAACAUGGUGUCUAGUCAGCUCAACCCAAUUGGUCCUGGCUUCAUACCCAACACUUCCAAUAUGAAUGCUAAGGCUUUAAUACUCUUUAUUGAGAUAUCCUCUUGAAUCUUCCACGUUGUUCUUCUCCUUGAAUGCACUAGACGCUUGAAAUGAAAACUUCUUCUCUAGUGCAAUCUGCGCUUUCUUGAGUCAUUGUAAACAUUUCAAAAUUCUUCUUUAACUAUAUUCAAUCUAAACAUUGAAGCUUGAAUCAUUUCUUCACUUGAAUAUUCUUUUCUUUGUAUUGUUCAUCAUCUUCCACGUAUUAGACUCUAAAUAUGGAAAUAUUGGCUUUGAUGAGAUUGAUGAGUCUUUAACAUAUAUUUGUUCUUCAAAUACUUUCUUUAUAUGUAUGAACUUUGUCCCUUGAGAUUUGAACCUCCAUUGACUUGAUUCUUUCCUAUUAUGCAUUAUUCAUCUUCUUCUUCAUGGUACACACUCAAAUAGGAAAGUUUUUAUAUGAGCCUAGAUGUCUGCCCAACCUGGCGACCUGGCAACCCUACUAGUAGUGCUAAAUGAGUUAUAGACUUUAGUUCCAUGAAAUAAAAAAAUAUAAAAAUUCAUAAAAGGUGGGAGAGAAGAGAAGUUGUAGGGAUAUCGUGUGCGGAAGCGUAAUAAUUUCAACCAAAGAUUAUGAGAAAUUAAAGUAACAAAGAAAAUGAGAAUGAUACCAGAAAUUUUUAGGUGGCAAACCCCUUUAAAUAGAGGUAAAAAACCACCGGCGAGAGAGCCAAAACUUCCACUAUAAUGGUACUGGGAGUACAAUGAAUUCCUCCCAGACUAAUAGAUAAAUAGCCCUAAAACAAAUCCUCUCUAUAUGGGUUAAACACUUACACCUAAGAGCAGAAAUAGAGAGUAUAGGAGAAGAGAGAGGAAGCAAGUGUGUGUUGUUGUUUGUUGUGUGUUACAUUGCUUGAAGGAAGCCACUAUAUAUAGUGGUUCUAGGAGACAACAAUAAUAAAUACAAUUAAUGGUAAUUAACCUCCCUUUUGAUGACAAUUAAUUGUAGUAAGAAACCUCCAUUUGAUGACAAUUAAUUGUGGCAAGUAACCUCCAAAUUAUAUCAAGAAAAUGGAAAAGUGAGUCAUAACCCACAAAUCUCCACCUUGACUUGCCUUUGACCGGAACAAUCUCUCGCCAAGAAGCCUUGAUUAAGUAUGGAUAAUACCAGCUAAGUUCAGGCAAUGAUCGAACUUAGCCGAUGGAAGUGGCUUGGUCAACAUGUCUGCAGGAUUUUCGGCUGUAUGAAUUUUUUCAACAAUUAUAUCUCCUGUAUCAACAAUGUCUCGGAUAAAAUGGUGUUUAAUUUCAAUGUGCUUGGUCCUUGAGUGAUACUUACUGUUCCUGGUUAAGUGGACAACACUCUUGACUAUCACAAAAUAUAACAAGAACAUCUUGUUGAGGACCAAGUUCACUUACCAAGCCUCGAAGCCAUAUAGCCUCUUUCAUACCUUCUGUAGCAGCAAUAUAUUCUGCUUCAGUGGUGGACAAAGCCGCAAUGGCUUGAAGUGAAGAAUACCAGCUAAUAGUAGACCCACAUAGGGUAAAAAUGUAGGCUGAAAGUGAACUUCUCCGAUCUAAAUCACCAUCAUAGUCAGCAUCAACAUAGCCAACUGCUCCUCCGGUAUCGGCUCUAUGUUGAUCAAAUACCAAACCAAGAUCUGGAGAACCUUUCAGAUAACGAUGUAUCCAUUUAAUGGCUUCCCAGUGUGCCUUGCCUGGAUUAUGCAUGAACUUGCUAACAAUGCUAACAACAUAAGCUAAAUCAGGUCUAGUACAUACCAUAGCAUACAUGAGACUUCCAAUUGCAUUUGAAUACGGGACAUGUGACAUGCGAUUUUUGUCCUCGUCUAAUUUUGGACACUGAUAUGAUGACAACUUGAAGUGGGAGGCAAUUGGAGUAUUAACAGCUUUGCAAUCUCGCAUUCCAAAUUUGUCAAGCAUCUUAAGAACAUACUUCUUUUGUGAUAGAAAAAGUUUUCCAGCUUGACGAACUAUGUUGAUCUCAAUUCCUAAAAUUUUCUUGGUAGGACCUAAGUCCUUCAUAUCAAAUUCACUACUAAGCUGAGCCUUUAACUUGUUAACUAAAGAUUUAUCUCUUGCGACAAUCAACAUGUCAUCAACAUAUAACAACAAGUAUAUAAAUGACCCAUCAGAUGUCUUUUGAAAAUAAACACAAUUAUCAUAGCUACUUCUUAGCACGAGGUUCUAAUUUUCCCUCGUUUACAUGAGAAUAAGCAGGGCAACCAAAUAUUUUAAGAUUAGAAUAAUCAACAGAGUUACCUGACCAAACUUCUUCUGGAAUGUUGCAAUCAAUUGAUUUGUUAGGAGAGCGGUUUAUCAGAUAACAUGUCGUUGAAGCCGCUUCAACCCAAAAACAUUUGCUCAAACCAGAAUGGGAGAACAUGCAACGAACUCUCUCCAGGAUAGUUCUAUUCAUUCUUUCUGCAACCCCGUUCUGUUGUGGAGUCCCUGGAUGGUGAGGUGUCUGGAAAUGCCUUCUUUCUUGCAGAAGUCAUUGAAUUCAUUCGAACAGAACUCAAGGCCAUUGUUUGUCCUUAGCCUCUUUAUCUUCUUGCCAAUCUGAUUCUCAAUCAAUAAUUUCCACUCUUUAAAAGUGGAAAAUGUUUCAUUCUUAUGUUUAAGGAAAUACACUCAUAGUUUUCGUGAGAAAUCAUCAAUAAUUGUCAUCAUAUAACGACAUUUACCUCUGGAGGGAACUUUUGACGGACCCCAAAGAUCCGAAUGAAUAUAAUCCAAAGUACCUUUGGUUUUGUGUAUGGCUUUAGAAAAACUAACCUUUUUCUGCUUACCAAAAUGCAAUGUUCACAGNNNNNNNNNNNNNNNNNNNNNNNNNNNNNNNNNNNNNNNNNNNNNNNNNNNNNNNNNNNNNNNNNNNNNNNNNNNNNNNNNNNNNNNNNNNNNNNNNNNNAUUCCCUUCUCACUCAUGUGGCCUAAUCUCAUAUGCCACAACUUGGUGUUAUCUUUGUUGGGUGAGGCAACAGCUGCAGAACCUGUAACGGUUGAAUCCUGCAGCACAUACAAACUAUCACAUCGAAUUGCCUUUAGUAACACAAGAGCUCAUUUAGACACUUUUAAAACUCCACCUUCAGCUGAGUAUCAGCACCCAUGAGAUUCAAGGGUGCCUAAGGAAAUGAGAUUGCGUUUCAACUUAGGGACAUAUCUGACACCUGUUAAAGUUCUAACAAUUCCAUCAUGUGUCUUGAUUUUGAUUGUUCCUUCACCAGCAACUUUGCAUUGAGCAUCAUUUCCCAUCAAAACAAGACCAUUAUAAAGUGGUUCAUAUGUGGUAAACCAAUCUCUAUUGUGAGACAUGUGAAAAGUACAACCAGAAUCAAGAAUCCAUUCAUUUUUAGACUUUUGUUCAGUGUUGGAAGCUACAAAACAAUCCCCAUCAGAUUCAGUUUCAACAAUACUAGCUUCGGCAAAUUUUUCUGGUUGUUUACCAUUUCCCUUAUCUUCUCUAUCUUGCUUAUUUUUCAAUUUAUAACAUUCAGAGAUCUCGUGUCCCUUUUUCUUGCAAUAACGACAAUAUUUGGAGUUCUUGCCUCUAGAUUUUGACCUAGAUUUAUGUUUAGUGUUCCUACCUUUCUCUUGGUUUCUCCUUCUAACUACUAAUCCUUCACCAGAACUUUCAGAAUGAAUUUGAGUAUCAAAAUUUUCUUUGGCUAGUAAAUUAGUCUUGACAUCAUCAAAGCUUAAGGUAAGAUAAUUACCGUAUAACAUAAUUUCUUUGAAUUGUCGAUGCGAGGGUGUUAGAGAAACAAUAAGUAGAACAACUUUAUCCUCAUCAUCAAUUUUAACAUCCAAAUUUUCCAAAUCAAUUAUGAUGGAAUUAAAUUCAUCAAGGUGAGAUUGGAUGGGAGUACCUUCAAACAUUCAGAGUGUAAAGAGUCGCUCCUUUAACCAGAGUUUGUUUGCAAGACUUUUGGUCAUGUAUAGAGACUCCAAUUUAAUCCAUAUGCCUGUUGUAGUUUUCUCAUUGAUGACCUCACGCAACACCUCACGGGACAAGCAUAACUGGAUUGCAGACAAUGCCUUUUCAUCCAUCUCAUCCCACUGCUCCUCCGUCAUAGUGGUUGGUCUCAUCAUUUUACCUGUCAAAACUUUCUUUAAACCAUUCUGGGUGAGAACAGCUAGCAUCUGGACUCGCCAGAUAGCAAAACUGAUUUUACCACCAAAUUUCUCAAUAUCCAAUUUUGACAUUAUUGAACAACAGAUCCUGGUUGAAGUAUAAUGGUACUGGGAGUACAAUAUGAAUUUCUCUAAGACUAAUAGAUAAAUAGCCCUAAAACAAAUCCUCUCUAUAUGGGUUAAAAACACUUACACCUAAGAGCAGAAAUAGUAUAGGAGAAGAGAGAGGAAGCAAGUGUGUGUUACAUUGCUUGAAGGAAGCCACUAUAUAUAGUGGUUUUAGGAGACAACAAUAAUAAAUACAAUUAAUGGUAAUUAACCUCCCUUUGAUGACAAUUAAUUAUAGUAAGAAACUUUCAUUUGAUGACAAUUAAUUAUGGCAAAUAACCUCCCAAAAUCAUGUUUUAUUUCUUUUCUAGUUUAAAAUGUUGAAAACCGUCUUUAAAAUUUAAAUUUAGACAAUUAAAAAUCGCAGUAAAUUGGAAAUCCAAAAUUACCUUCCGCGUCUAUGAAGGAUAAAAUAACAUUUUGUAAAUUACGUAAACAAAGAUUUCACAAUAAGAUAUAACAAUGGAAAGUUAUAACAAUGGAAAAAACGAGUAAAACACCAAAUCGUUCCCUAGAUUUUAAAUUACUUUUUAUUUUGACCUUUUAUGUAAAAGAAUAUUUUAUUUUAAUUUUGUCAAACUAUUUAUUAACUCAAAAGAUUUUUUUUAUUUUUUAUUUUUUGCAGAGACUAUUGGUGAUAUCAUAUACGGUGAGUUCCUCUAUUUCUAUAUAUAUUUUUUAAGUAAAAAGGGAAAGAAUAGUUUACUUUGUCUCUAUCCCACGGUUUUAUUCCUCUAUUUCUAUAAAUAAUAAGUAUGAUGUAACAAGUUUUUUUAUAAAUAUAUUUAUUUGCAUAAAAAAUAAAUAAAUUCUUUUAAAUUUAAAACUAAUUUAUAUGUAAACUAUUUUUUAGACAUUCUUUUAUAUAACCUUUUUAAAUUUUAAUUUCUAAUUUAUAAAUAAUUUUAUUUCAUUUUUAUUUUUUUUAUUUUCUUUUAUAAAAAUAUUUGUAAAACAAUUUUCCAAAUAUAACUAAUAUUAUUUGUACAUACUAUUUUUGGAAAAAUAGUUCUAUAAUAAUUUCACUUUAUUAUUAAUUUUUUAUUGAUGAAAUCUAUCACUUUGAUUCUUGGACUCUUCCAAUAUACUUUUAAUAAUAACAAUUUGUGUACAGGUGCUAAAAGAGUAACUUUUUUCCAUUCUAUAUGUUAACAACUUUUUUUGGGAAAACUCAUCCACAUUUUUAUUACAUUAAAAAAAUAUAAUUUUAAAAAUAAAUAAUUUUCUAAACAAGAUAUUGAAAAAGAAUAAAAUUAUAAAAUUUAAAAUGUAUAUAAUUUUGUUAAAAUAAUACUAAAAUAACAUAUGGUGGCUAUCUAUACACUAUAUAAAGGGCACAGAGUUUUUAACCACCCUUAGUGUUUUCUUUGUUUUAUUUGAAUAAAAAAAAUUGGAUACAUAGGCGCGCAUGUACUAAAAAAGUUUUUAACCACCGCUUUUUAAGUAAAAAAGUUAUUUACAUAUUUUUUUUAAUAGAGAUAAAUUAUUUAAUUAAAUAAAGAAGUAUUUUUUUUAUAAAAUUCAUGUUAUUUAUUUAUUAAAAGGUAAAAUUAUAUAAUUAUAAAUAACGUCAAAGAUAGUUAUCAAAUGUUUUUUUUUAUAAUGAUAUAUUAUUUUUAAUAGAAAUAAGUUAUUUAAUUACUCAUUUUAUAAAAUAAAAAAUUAUGUUUUAUUUAUUAAAGUAUAUAAUAUUUUAAUUAAAAUAUAACAUAAAAAUAAUUAUUUAUAUUCGCACUAUACAAUAGUAUAGAUAAUAAUAAUAAUAAAUAUAAAUAAAUUUAAAAGUUUAAAGAUUUAUUAUUAUUUUAUUAAUAAAAAAAGUUUACAAGUGAUUUUUUUAUUUAUUUUAAGGAAGGUGUGAAUUUCUUUUUUCUUUCUUCAUUACAGUAUGAUGACAUUUGUCAUAUUAAUUCACAGGAUUAAUUUUAGUAAUAUAUGGGCCAAACCAAAAUCUUAAACGUUACGGUGCAUAUGGCUCAGUAACGAUUACAUUGGGACACUAUGUUAUACCAUACUUCAUAGUUAGAUAUGUUGUAGGCACGAUAUUGCUUAUUGUUCUUUUGAUAUACAAGUGGAGAAGAAGACAUUCUUCAGAAUAUGAAAAUAUUGAAAGUUAUUUAGAGCAAAAUAGCUUGAUGCCUAUUCGAUACACAUACAAGGAAAUUAAGAAGAUGGCCAAAGGUUUUGGUGAAAAAUUGGAUGAAGGAGGUUAUGGCUCUGUAUUUAAAGGAAAGUUGCGUAGUGGAUCUUGUGUCGCUAUAAAAGUGUUACAAAACUCAAAAGGUAAUGGACAAGACUUUAUCAAUGAAGUUGCAACAAUUGGAACAAUACAUCAUCAAAAUGUAGUGCACUUAAUUGGAUAUUGUGCUGAGAGCUCAAAAAGAGCCAUUGUUUAUGAGUUCAUGCCCAAUGGAUCUCUAGAUAAAUUUAUAUUUUCGAGAGAAGAAAAUCCACAUUUAACCUAUGACACAAUAUAUAAUAUAGCAAUUGGAGUAGCACGUGGGAUUUCAUAUCUACACCAUGGGUGUGAGAUGCAGAUUUUGCAUUUUGACAUUAAACCCCACAACAUCCUGCUUGAUGAAAAAUUCACCCCAAAAGUCUCUGACUUCGGAUUGGCAAAACUAUAUCCAACAAACAAAAGUGUUGUGACUAUGACAGCAGCAAGAGGGACAAUUGGAUACAUGGCUCCAGAAUUGUUUUAUACAAAUAUAGGAAGAAUAUCAUAUAAGUCUGAUGUUUAUAGUUUUGGAAUGCUUCUGAUGGAGAUAGCAAGCAAGAGGAAAAACUUAAACCCCCAUGCCGAGCAUUCAAGCCAACUUUACUUUCCCUUUUGGAUUUAUGAUCAACUUGACAAAGAGAGAGAUAUAGAAAUCCAAGAUGUCAUAGAGGAUGAGAAGAAAAUUACAAAAAAGAUGAUGAUAGUUUCACUUUGGUGCAUACAAUUAAAACCAAAUGAUCGUCCUUCCAUUAAUAAGGUAGUCGAAAUGCUUGAAGGAGACAUUGAGAACCUUGAAAUACCUCCAAAGCCUUCUCUGUAUCCAUAUGAAACAUUGAAAAGAAUCUUCUCUGACCAAACAACAUUGCCUGACUUCAUUAGUUCUUCAAGUUAUUCCAUGGAGAUUGCCACUAAUGCUCCACUAGAUGCAAGUAUUUGAUAUUGCAUAUUAGUUAUUUAUUUGCAUGGAACUUAUUAAACAUUGUUCAUCUAUAAUAUUUACAAUAUUUACAUUGCCUGAGUUAUUUCCUAUUGAAAGUUUAAAAAUAAUUGUUACCAAAUUUAAAAAUGUGUUCAAAGUUUUCCCAUAUGUUCAUUAUACUAUGGUAUUUGUAGCAACCUAGUUCUUUUAAUUGUAAUUUAAAACUUGAUCAAAUAUAAUAAUAACUGAGAAACUAAAUUUGGUUAAAAAUAACAAAUUAAAUAGGUAUAUUUUUUGGUAAGUGUCUCUUCAAAAUUCUACAAUAGAGAUUGUGUAGUAAGCUAGAUAACAGAAAAGGAUAUAUGAAAGUAAUCAAACAAUCAAGAAAUCGUCAAAUCAAACAUAAUUGGUUACUUUAAUUAAUUUUAUUUCAAUUUGAUUCUAAACACGUAUUUUAAGAAAAGUUUUGAUGAGUGUGAAAUUUUUUUUUUAUCAGCAAAGAAUUAAUUUAAUUAAAACUGGGACACUUAAGGGGUGUCCCAACCCGUAUACAAAAAGUACUUAUAGCUACUUACACGUGUGAACCUGUAGAAACCUUAUAGAUAUAGCUACAAGUGACUUCUACCAUCCAAAACCAUUUGCUGCAUAAAAUCCUUUAAGCUUCGGCAGUAUGGGAAAGCACAAUCCCACUCUUCCAUUCAUUCCUAUUACUAAAUCACCCAUAAGCAUGGCCUAUCCAAGAUAGCAAAAUAUCGGGAACCCCAAUCUGCACACAGUUUCAUUCCUUCGUAACCAGAAACCUUCCACAGAAAAUCUAUUUUCCAUCCACAGAGAAUGCAUCUGUUAUCUUUCCCUGUUAUGGUAUAUAUCAGUGGAUGAGUGUGGCGCACCUACUAACCUUUCACCAUUCCAUUCCUUAUCUGCACUAUACCAAUCCAAACCUACACCUGGGAACUCCUCUAUUCCAUCUUGCACCGAACUCAGCCAUUGCAGCGCCCUCAUCCAAACUGGCCAAGUCCAUUUCACCUUAGCACCUAUAAGCAGCAGCUCCAAUCUUCACAGUACCUGCCAACAACCAAUGCACCCAUUUGCUGCAUAUCCUCACGCCUUUCUCAGCCCUUUUGGUUAAUGGUCCACGCCUUAUAGCAGUUUACAGCAGGCAUAUACUCAAUGUUCUGUUGGACCGUGCCUUCCUGCUUCCCUCUUAUGUAGUUAGACCCCUGUCCAUCGCUAGCAAGUAAAACUCUCCUCUGCCCCGAGCUAGCCUUGUCAUCCUAACCGCCUUACACCAGCUGUUCUUCACCCUCAUUACUGCAAUUCCUUGCCACUCCAGUACUGGUCCAAGAUAUUCUUCUACACCAUAGCCGCCCUUCCAGUUCUGCUACAUAUUACUACCUGCACUUUGGAGCUCCCCUAGUUACGUCCCAAUUCACUCAGGGCCAACCUAACCCCCUUGACCCCUCUGCUGGACAUGAAAAUCUAUUUAACACUCUUUAUACAACUACCCGGGUUAAUUGUCCAAUCUGAGAAAGAGUAAUUAAAAGACUUGGUUCUAUGUUUUAGCCAAGACCAGGAUUUUAGCUGCGCCAUCUGAAUCAUCUCCUCUACAUCCACAACUCCUUGUUUGAACAGAAUGGAAUUUCUCUGGUCCCAAAUACCUCUUAUAAUCGCUGCCCAAAUACCUUUCCACACCAAGAUUUGUUUUCCACUGGCCUGAGUACAAAGAAAACUCUCAAAAUGGGAUUGAAUCUCAUUAUUUUGUACUAACACAAUUCCCAGCCACUUUUGGCAAAGGGACCAAACAUGCUGCGCAAACACACAUUCAAUGAAUAGAUGCUGUGAUGAUUCCUCCAUAUUCCGACACAGAACACAAACUGUGGAUUCCAUCUGCACACCUCUUCUCACCAGGGCCUCCCGUGUUGGAAUUCUGUCUAUGAGCACUCUCCACGCUGUUACUAGCACAUUAGGGAAUGCUGUGGCUUUCCAGAGGAGAUAAAAAAUCACGUGUUGUGUCCCUCUUAAAUGCUUGCCUAGGCAAAUGUAGGCUAAGCUCACCGUGUACCUCUCUAGCUCAUCCUUCCCCCACACUUGGGUGUCGUUUACAUAUCUCUUCACAUCAGAACCUGAAAUUCUUUCACUAAGAUUUCUCUCCAUCUCAGAUUCCCACUCAAAUCUCUCCCUCCUCCAUUGUAUCCUCCAAUGCCAUUCAGAUCCCUCCCACUCUCCAGCUUCCUUAAUUUUUUCCUCCUGAUUCGCCGCUAAGGAAUACAAUCUUGGAAAACCAGUUUUAAGACUUGUAUUACCAUUCCACACAUCCUCCCAAAAACUAAUCUUAUCCCCCUUUCCUAAUUUCCAUCGUAGCUCUUCUUUGAACCAACCUUCUCCUUCUCCCUCCCUACAGAUCUUCUUUAAAUCUCUCCACCACCAUGAUUGAUAUUUCACUGGAAUCCGUGUCUCCUCUAGUUGCAAACCAUAUUUUGAUAGAAAUACCUCCUUCCACUUCCCUGGCUCUUGUGAGAUGAGCCGCCAUCUCCAUUUUGCUACAAGGGCAAAAUUCAGCUUUCUAAUAUCCUUAAUUCCCAGUCCUCCAUCUUCUUUCUGCUUGCACACCUCUCCCCAACUUACCCAUGAAAUCGGCCUGUUUUCUUUUCCCCACCCCUAGAGAAAUUUUCUCCGAAUACUAAUUAUGCUUUUGUAGACCGAUUCUGGUGUUUUAAACACGGACAGAUAAAAGAGAGGUAUUGCAGUGAGCACAGACUUAAUUACACAGGUCCUUCCUGCCAAGGACAGAUACCUCCCCUUCCACACACUUAAUCUGGCCUUCAAUUUUUCCAAAACAGGUUUCCAGAACGUUUCUUUCCUUGGAUUUCCUCCUACUUCUAUUCCCAAGUACUUAAACGGGUAUCCCAUCUGACCACAAUUUAAGAGUUUUGAAUAGCAUCUAAGAUUCGAAUUGUCAACAUUUAUACCUACUAGACUUGAUUUGUGGAAGUUAAUUUUCAGCCCAGAUGCUAUCUCAAAACCCCUUAAAAUUGCUUUCAUACUCACUACAUUGCUCCAUGAGUCUUCGCAGAAAAAAAGGGUGUCAUCCGCAUACUGCAGGAAGCUCACAACUACCUCCUUACUUCCAAUCUUUAUUCCCGCCAAAAGGUUGGCUUUUAUCGCCUGCCUGACUAGUCCAGCAAGACCUUCAGCCACAACUGUGAAGAGGAACGGUGCUAAGGGAUCUCCCUGUCUCAAACCUCUUGUCGGUCUGAAUUCUUCAGUUGGACUCCCGUUGACUAGGACAGACACUGUGGCUGACUCCAUACAUCCUCUGAUCCAUUGAAUCCAGGUAUUAUGAAAACCCAUCCUAUCAAGCAUAUCAUACAUGAAAACCCAUCCUAUCAAGCAUAUCAUACAUGAAAACCCAUCCUAUCAAGCAUAUCUUACCGAAUCAUACGCUUUUUCAAAAUCAACUUUCAAGCACAACCCGCUUCUCCCCUUCCUUCUAAGAUCCUCAAUCACCUCGUUUACCAAUAUCACACUAUCCGUGAGACCCCUAUCCUUAAUAAAAGCAGACUGGCUCUCAUCUAUUAUUGCCGGUAACACUUUCUUUAACCUUCCUGCUAAUACCUUAGCAAUGACUUUAUAAAUCGCACCCACUAAGGAUAUGGGUCUGAACUGAUCGAGCUUGCAAGGAUCCUUAACUUUUGGAACAAGUGCUAUGAACGAAGCGUUGCACCCUUUGGGAAUACACCCUGUUUUAUAAAAUUCCGCUAUUGCAGCUACAAAAUCAGCCUUUAAGUACUUUCAGCUUUUCUUGAUGAACUUAAAAUUGAAUCCAUCCGGGCCUGGACUUUUUGAGCCUUCACAUUGCCACACCGCCUCCUUAAUUUCUUCCUCAGAGAAGAUCUCUAUCAUUCGCAAGUUGUCUCCAGAAGACUUUUAGCUUCUCUUCGAACAGUACUAGGCUCCUCACACCAUAGGCCUGCUACCUCUACCCCUUUCACUUCAUUCCUUAGUCUCCUCCACCUAAGAGUUGAGUGGAAAAACCUAGAGCAAGAGUCACCAAAUCUGAACCAGUUUGUCCUAGCCUUUUGACGGAUAAGAGACUCUAGCUUAUUAUCCGUCUCCCAAAGCCUUCUAAUCAGAUUUGUUCUAGCUUGCUUCUGACUUUCCCCCAUUUGGCCGUUACAAUUUUGACCAUCAAAGGUCUCAAUUUCCUGCAUUAUAGAGCUCUUGAUCAAGUUCAAAUUCCCAAAAACGUCCCUAUUCCAAACUUUCAGAUCCACCUUCAGGAGUUUAAGCUUUUCCUUAAGCCCUUUAACUGCACCUCCUUCGGUUGAAUAUGACUUCCACUUUUCCUCCACCAUUCCAGCAAAGCCUUUUUCCGAGAGCCAUGCAUCUAACGACCUAAAGGGCUUGGGACCCCAAUCCUUGUCCAGGCAUUUAAUCAUCAAAGCACAAUGGUCUGAGACCUCCCUUCUUUGAACAUACUGCUUGCAGGUAGGCCAACACUGUAGCCACUCCUCUGUUACAAGAGCUCUAUCUAUCCUGCUCUUUGCUGUUCCAUUUGCUUUGAACCAAGUAAACUUUUUCCCAACAAUGGGCAAAUCCAUCAGCAGAUUUGUCUCUAUAAACCCAUUAAACUCCUUCAUCUCUUUUAUAAAUUCUCCCCUAUCUACCCCUUGUCUUUCAGCUCGUCUUCUUAUAGCAUUGAAAUCCCCACAGAAGCACCACAUCCCAAUCUGUGAAUUUUCUUUACACUUGGACAAUUCCUCCCAGAGAAUUUUCUUCUCUUUUAGAGUGCAUGCUGCAUAGACAUUAACCACACAACACCUUCGAGAUGAUUUCCCAUGCAGACCCACAACAGCUAUGUACCCUUUCCCCAUUGAAUGACUUUCAUACUUAAACACAUCUUUAUGCCACAAAGAGAGAAGACUUCCUCUGCCACUCUCCCCUCCAUUAUGGAUCCAACCAAUGUUGUUAUCCCCCCAAAUAGAGAAACACCUAGCAUCUGUUAUUUCUGUAGUCUUUGUUUCCUGUAAGCACAUGAAUUCCACUCCCUCCGUCAAAAUACACCUUCUCAAAUAACGCACUUUUGUUCCUCCCCCCAUACCUCUAAUAUUCAGGUUAAAAAUCAGCAUCUAAAUCUCUUUGUCUACCCUACUCUGCAUUAUUCUUCACUUCCUGAUCUCUAUCUUCCAUUAUGAUAAAUUCUUGAACCACCUCAUCUUCCUCUCCUCUGUAGGCUAACCCAAACCGUUUUCCAACUGCCCAAAGGUUAUCUGACUCCUCCCUGCUUUCUGGACUAUGUACUCUAGCAUUACAUAACAAUAUGUCCCCGUCAGAAAUUGAUGCUGAGAACAUACCUUCUCUGUUCACCAAGUCAUUCUUCUUUUGGAAUAUUUUCUCGCUCAACCGAAUAGAACGCCUGGGGAAGGUAUUUGCGUCCCCCAGCUCACGAAGUGCUUUCUGUUUCCGUGGUUGGGUUUUGCUUGCAGUACCUACUUCUGCUACCUCUUCUUCAGACAGGCCAUGCGCGUUCACCCCUUCCUGAUUUUUUCUCUCAACAGUAAGUCGUCCCUCCUGAUUGGAAUUUGGUUCAAUAUGGCGGCUCUCGCUUCCACUUCCCGCUUCCAUUCGACACAGUGCUUCAGGAUUUCCCUCAUGACGUUGUUCAUCAUCUCCCUCUGACUCAUUCGCCCUUCCAGAUGUUUGUUCGGUUUCCUUCUGUGUAAGGUUCAAUCCUUCCUCACUCCCUAUUUCCGUAUGGGCCUUCCCCUCACCCUUCUGGCCCAGAUGCAUAUUGGGCUUUAUAGGCGGGUUUGUGCUUUCUAAUUCCACCACUAACUUAGCCAGCUCAGCAUGCCCAAAAAGGUGACUUUGCAAAAAACAUGCUAUCCUGUGCAGACUGAAAUACUAAAGCUGCUUCCUCCUUUCCCUUAGUUUCCUCUUCAGUGUAUACCUUGGUUACUUUAUUCUGCCCCUUAUUCCCAUUCAUAUCAGAUACUCGAGAUUGGGAGACUUUUGUCGUAUUCGCGUUUAGGUCUUCGUCCUCCUCCUCCUUCUCCUCCGGUUGCCGAACCCUCCGUCCACUUGAGCCCUCCUCCUCACCGUUGAACACCGGGGUAUCAGACUCCUCCACAUAGGUCUUUGAAGAUGAGACGCUAUCCGAAGUAUCUAGAUAGUUCCGAUGACACAUACACUGCCCUUCAAGUCUAAAGGGUUGUUCUUCUUCGACAUAAACGGACACCUCCAGGCCAUUAAUCAGCAUAGUCUUAACCAUUCUGGCGUUAUGGUUUUUGCGUAGGCGAACUUUGAGUCUUGCAUACUCCAAGUUUUCCCACAUGACCGUUGUUGCAUCUAUAGACACUAGAGAUGCUUCCUCUCCAACUAUUUUUGAGAAGCAAGCCUUGGUCCACAGCGGUAGAGGCAGACCAUAACAACGUACCCAUACUACUCUGUGCUCUGCAAUAGACUCCUCCGUCCAUGGCUCGAUUUUUUGGAACACACUCUCAAACCACCCCUUAUUGAGGUCUAUUACCUCCUUCAUGUUCACCCCUUCUCGUGGAGUCAGGAGAGCAAGAUUAUCUCCCAGGGAUCUAACACAAACUAAGCUCAUACCCCCUUUAAUAAAUUCGUCGUCAAGUUCUUCAGAGCUUAGUUCUUCCCUUAACUGCCCUACCAUACUGUACUCCAUCCAUGGUAAGACGUUCUUCUCAGUGGUAAAGGUUGACCCCUCCCAUCUUCUUUGAGCAUCGCCUUUGAUAGCAUCUGCAUAUGACUUGCUCCCUGCCUUCACUCUCCAUACCUCCGUUUUUCUCUUCUGACCGCUGAUAGCUAAUGGCUCCUCCUGCGGUUUCCUGUAACUCUUUCCCUGCUCUUUAUGGUACGCUCUGUUUUCACUCCCCUGACCUUUAGCUUCCAGUUCGCUCCUCCUAUAUUUCGGAACGUUUACAUGCAGCUUUUUGUUGCCUAUGUAGAUCUGAUCAAGAUCCUUCUCCAGCCUCCCCACAUCCCUGACUUCAAAAAAUCGAACAAACUCGAACCUUCUUCCCCAUUUGUUAAGUCUUCUUGAGAUAAACACUUCUUUAACCCUAGCCCACCUUCUAAAAAUCUUGAUCAUAUCCAGCUCCCCAUACCCGUUUGGGAAAUUUGCAAAGAAGAACGUCGUCAAACCAUUUGAGUUUCCGUAAGCGUGUCGAUUACUACCAGAUCCUCCGUGUUCUCCUUGCCUCUGCGUCAUGUUCUCUUUGAUGAGUGUGAAAUAAAAUAGUCGUUCUAAUAUUCCAAAUGAUAUUAAACCAUUAACUUAUAUUUUGGCGAGUUUUUUAACUAAAAUUUCUCCAAUAAGUAAAGCCAUGUGUACAAUGUUACCAACUUCCAUCGUACGACGAAUAUUCACUGCCUAAACUCAUAUUAGUGGAACACUAUUAGUAUCUUUAUAAUUAAGUUGUUACACAACAUCUCAUUGACUUUUUUUAAAGUAAUAAUCUUAAUAAUUUUAUACAUUACAAAAAUUUAUGUUUAGUGUUUUUUUAUUAGCAUUUUAAACCCGUUAAACAUAUUAUUCACAAUCGUAAGAACUGUCGGCAAAACAUUAGUGAUAAACAAUUUACUACCAGGUUUUUAGAAAAUCCUUAUUAAUACCAAAUAUCCCUAGUAUUAUCUGCCAACCAGUAGACAAUGCAAUUUUGUCACCAUAACAUUAUAUGUAGUUUUCUCGUUAAUGUGUGAUAUAACCGACAUUUUUUAAUCAUGUUAAUGCCAUAAAAUUGGAAUCUGUCAUUAGUGAUUCAUUUUUAUCCCCAAUUUCAAUUGUGUUCAUUGUUGCACCCCAUCCAUAACCAUUUUCAUUCAUGUUCAAGCCCCCUCAACAUAGUCAAUCUCAUUUCGCAGCACACUUAUCUCUCUUAUCAAUUUUCACAUUUUUAAUCAUACUUGUACCCAUUAGUGACUCAUCUUUUUUUUCUUGAAAACAUACUUGGUAUACUAGUUCACGAUCUAUCACUAUUGCUCUAGUAGAAAAUAUAAUUGAUAAUAAAAAGUGCAUAAGUUAGUAUAAAGUCAUGUCAGCAAAAUAUGAGAUAGACUGGUGAAUGACAAAUGCUAUUUCAAAUUUGCACAUAGUAAUGAUAAAUGCAAUUUUAUCUAGCAUUGUAGAGAAGACUAUUACUUUGAAGAAGAUUUGGGAGACAUUCAUCAAAUUGUACGAGGUUAAGUCACCUCAUAUAAGAAUGUUCAUGAAGAGAAAAAUCUAUACUUUUCAAUAGAGUGAAUUUCUAAACCUUGAAGAUCAAGUCACAUCUUUAUUUGAUGUUUCCAAAACCUACAUUGUACAUUGGAUGACAUGAAUUGUGUGUGUUUAGGAAGAUUUUGAUGUAUUUUGGUUGUUUCUUCUUAACCAUGCAUUAUGAUCCAAGUUUGCUCCAAGAUUUUUUUUAAACAAUUUGUUUUAAAAGCUUCGUAGUUUUUCAACUCGUUGUCUGAGAUAUUAAUUUGUUAAAAAUCAUCUUUUUGGACUAUAAUAUGUAUUUUUAAUUGAUUGAUUUAUCACAUCAAAAGAUUAAAAUCACUUAAGGUUUUCAACUGUUUUGCUUUUGUUCUCAUCUAGUCUAUUGUAUUUUGUGAAGAUAAACUAUGUCUUAAAAAAAUCAAUCUAUUUCAAGUUGUUGAUUUCUACUGUUAAGUGAAAUCAACUUGUUAUUUUGUGUUAUCAACUUGUUGAAUUUUAACUUUUUAUGUUUAUUAUAUCAUAAUAUUUUUCAACCGUUAAAACUUUUGAUUUUUCAUAAAAUUCUUAUAAAAUAGUUUAUUUUUGAAUUCAAAAAGUUGAAGUUUUUUAAUCAAAAAGAAUAGAGAGACUUUGUUUUGAAAUCUUGGAGAAACUCUUGUGUUUUUGGAUCAUUUUUGUGUUUGUGAAGGAGGUGCAUAUGAGAUUUUACAAUAGUAAUGUUCUUUGUUGUCUCUCAUGUGUUUUCAAUCCCUUUAAAAAAAAAUUUGUAGUGUGUUGGGCAGAUUUAGAUAGUUUUUUUUUUUGCAGUGGUUUGUAUUUUGUUUAUGUGUAAAAGUUCUUGUCGGGUUUAAAAAGUUGUUUCUUGAUAGUAGAUUUUGUAAUCUUGUGCUUUGAUCCUGCCUGUUGACCGGAGCGCGGGAGAAUGCCUCGUCAAAGGAUCGUGCGCGCCGCUUCUCACCUCCGUUCCUCCUCUGGAUCUAUCUCAAGAACCUGCAAAGAAACGAUACGGCGCCGCUGCGGCCGAUCGCACUCUGACGCUCAAGUCAGUGACGGAAUCACCAAAUACUAAGAAUGAGAACCGUGCAAAUCCUCUCUCACUCGCAAGCGUAAAGUGUAUGAACUGAACGUGCGUACCUCAAAAAGUCUGUUAAGAACUCUUAUAUACCUGGUGGUUUUCUCUCUCCUGGCAGUUACAGACUUGGACACGUGGCUCGCAUCCGUCUGUACACGUGCCAUCAUCUGGAGGCUCACUGACUUGGCGCCGCUUCUACUCUUAUUUUGGCUAAGUUACUUAUGCAUGGUACUGCCCAGUGCAUAGCUAACUUAGGAGUGCGAUCUCUACUGAAACUGGCGAGUUAGGGCCUUCAUACACCCUCCCUGUGGUCUCGCCGGCCGCCUUCAUAAUCUGUUUCUCCUUCACCUUCGGCGAUGUGCUUGUUCUGGCGAUCUCCGACUUCUUGGUCGCCUGAGUCUGCAUCUGGCGACUCCAUCUGCAACCAGGCGAUCGCCCAUUCUGAUAAACUGGAAAUCGGAACACGCCAACUUAACAAUCGGCGACCACACGUGCCUCCCGACUUCCUUCCUAUCUGCCAACCUGGCGCCUUGUCAACACGCCUACACUGUAGCAGGAUGCCACGUCAUCACACCCGUCCACCAGGGCGGUACAUGCUUUUUAGUGAAAACUGGUGUGGCUGAGGAUUGGAUGUACCUUUUGUGGUGAGAGUGAACCUGUAUAAAACAUUUGUGUGUUUCUCUAUAUCCUUUUCUUUACAUUUUUAUUUUUGUUGUAUCUGUAGUUCUCAGUUUUUCAAUUGGCUUAAAAAGUACAAAACUAAUUGAUCUUUCGUUUUUUAUUGUUAAGCACUUUUAUAAUUCAUUGAACACAAAAAUCAAUCAAUUGAUAUUAUAGAGAGAGAGAGAGAGAUACUCAACAAUUUAUACUGGUUCACCGACCAACAUGGACUAUGUUCAGUCCCUUUGAAAAACCCACUUAAUUCUAAAUAUUUACAUGAUUUAGAGGAAACUUCUACUUUCUCUUUCUUUUAUUCUAAAUAUUUACAGGAUCCUGGGUUCCAACUCUUUUCAAAGUUGCUUGCUAGUUGUGUUAUCCUUGGUAUUUUCUGAGAAGUUCUUGUUGUAUCUUGAGGGAGUUGUGCGAUACACUACGGAUAACUCCUUACAGACAGUGAUCUAUUGCUGAUAAAAAAAAAAAACAGACAGUGAUCAACCACACCUUAAGAAAUCAACAUUGUUCAUGUUUUAAAAUUUUAGUUUACAACAAUCAUAAGGACUUAUGGCUAACAAUACAGACUACAACAACAACUCUACUUCAAAGACAUCAAACGUUAUUUCCACAACGCAAACCAUUUUUGCGAAUCCAUUUUUGGACGUCUCGAAAAUUGAAGUCUUCACCGAUCAGAAUUUUCAACGUUGGGAAGAACGCGUGUUCAUUCUGUUGGACAUGUACGAAUUCACUUUUGCACUUACAACUUCUAAACCGACUCAAUCAUGCCUAUGAAACAAAUUGAUGUUUGGGCCCAUGCAAGUAACGUAUGUCGUCACACCUUACUCGGUGUGUUAUCUAACGAUUUGUUCAAUGUCUAUUGCUUUUACAAGGAAGCAAAAGAUAUUUGGGAUUCGCUUAUCCUCAAAUACACUGUUGAAUACGUCGUUAAACAAAGGUUCGUGAUUGGAAACUACUAUUGUUGGGAUUUGAUCAAAGACAAGGCCAUAAAAACUUAGAUAAAUGAAUACCACAAGCUGUUUGAAGAUAUCAAAGCAGAGAGAAUAGCCUUGCCUGAUGAAUUUGUGUUCGAACUGCUGAUCGAAAGCUUUCGCAAUCUUGGAAUGAUUAUAAAAACAAUUGUAGCACAAGCACACAAAAAUGUCACUACUACAUCAUCAUAAAAGACACCAACAGAAAGAAGUGUGUUGCUACAAGGGUCAAAGCUUUGUCUGCCAAAACAAACAUUGUAGAAGACAAACCAGCUCCAUAAAGGUACGAGAAAAAACCUUAUCACAAAAAGAAAUAUAAUAAUAAAUUUUCUCGUCCCAAUGAAACUAACUCCACCUUCAAUAAAAAGAGAAAUUGCUUUGUUUGUGGAAAGCCAAGUCAUCAUGCACCUCAAUGCAGACAUAGGGCCAAAAACGAAAAUCCUUCUAAGGCAAAUAUAUUCGAAGGGGAAGAUACCAUUGUUGCAGUCAUUUCACAAGUAAAUCUUGUGACCAAUGUGAGUAAAUGGGUGGUAGAAUCUGGAGCUACCAGAUACAUCUGUGCAAAUAUAAACGUGUUUACCUCCUACACAAGUGUGGGGAUGGAGAAAAACAAGUUUAUCUCGGUGAUUCCAGGACAACUACUGAUGGAAAAACGCUAUUCUUCUAGUAGUGAUCUUUGUAAUUUCUUCUUUGGAUGGAUGAUGAAGGAGUUUUGGGGAGAGGAAGCAUUAAAGAAACUCAAGAGGAGUUUCCAUGGAUUAAAGUGGAGUUAGGAAUUUUUGAGAGUGAGAGGUGAGGCCAAUUCACUAGGAAAAAGUCUAAGCUAAAUCUUGAAGGAGACUAGCCUAGGGAGAACUUAAGAACAAGUAGAAUGGUCAAAAUUAGGCAACAUUUCAUUACUAAUUCCAAGUUGAAAAUACAUGUACAAGAGACUCCUAUUUAUAGAGUCUAUCAAAACCUCUCAAAUGAGAGUGUGACAACACCACCUUAUUGGUGCAAAUCCUCUCCAUCGAGGAGAAGACAUGUGAAGCCUCAUGCCUUCCUUGCUUACAUUUCUAUUUGCACCUCUCUUUUACUAUUUUACACUUUACUUUUAUACAUCAUUCUCUACUUUGGCCCAAAAUACAAGACCCAAAACUUCCUAACUACUUUAUACAAUGUUUACAAGGCUAAGAAGAAGAAAAAUACUCUACAAAAUUUUCAUUAAAGCUCGAUCUCCGUCUAUCUUAUUGGCCGAAAGUUUCGAGGGUGGACGGUUGCCAUCAUCCCUUCCCUCUUGAAAAGGAUCUGUCCUCAUAUCUGAAUGAUGCUCAUUGACAACAACCUCUAUUUAUUUGAUUAAGUAUUUUCCUCCAGGGUCAAAUAUUAACCUACAAUAAACAUCUAAGAAAAAUGAGAUAAGAAAGUUAAGACAACGAUAUUCAAAUAAAAGAGUAAGAAAAUAAGGCUCUUUAUUUUUAUAAAAGUUUUGUUGAAAAGAAAUAGGGUCCUUUUCAAAAAUAUUUUUUGUUUCCUUUGUGUUUUUCAUUGCUCAAGAUAAGCAACAACAUCAGAAAGUGUUGUUUUUGUGAUUUUUUAGAAAAAUAGUAAGCAUCAUGAUUUAAAGGAAAAGGAGAGUUCAAAGUAUUCCAAUCUCUCUUUAAGGAUUAUUUUUCAACUAUGCUUGUAAGAGGUGUUGUAAGAUACUCCUCGUCCUUUCUAGAUUCCUCUUCUUCUUUUUGUCCAGGCACAAAUUUUUAUUCAAGCAUAUUCUCCCAAGGGUUUUCUAUAGAAGAAGAGUUUAUGUCAAUGUCUUGUUCAACUCCAGAAAAAGGAUUUUCCUUUAAUUCUUUUUUGUCUUUCUCUUUUUUCCUGUAUCUUCCUUUCUUUAAGAGCUUGUAAUUUUUCUCUAAAUUCUUUUUCUCUUCUAACAUUUAUUUUCUCCAUUUAUAAAAUUUCUUCCUUUUUCUUCAAACUCUUUCAUUUCUUCUCUAAGCUUAUUCUUUUUCACAUAUGAAGGCGAAACACAUUUUCUUUUCAUACACAUCUUCAAUUCAUCCCAAUUCAGUACUUUUGAUUUUCUGCCAAUUCUAACAUCUGUUUCCCUUUGUGUCCUCCAAGACCUAGCAUAUUCUUGAAAACUUAGGGUAGCCAAGGAAAAUCUACUAAAUUCAUCCAAUUGGUGUUUUUCAAAAAAAUUAUCAACCUUUGUCUCCCAUUUUAAAUAUGCUUCAACAUUUUUAUUUCCAUCAAAAUAGGGAAUGUAUACUUUAGUCUAUGUAGGAAGAGCUAAACCAGUUUGCAUACAAUGAAGUAUGGUCUUUAGUUCCAAGAACAUCUGAGAUGAACAUCAUAGGAACCAAAGGGUGUACAGAUAUAAGAUGGAUGAACAAGGGGCUAUCACCAGAAACAAGGCAAGGUUGGUUGCUAAGGACUAUAACUAAGAAGAUGGACUAUAUUUUGAUGAGACUUAUGCACUAGUGGCACGACUAUAAGCUGUCAGACUUCUCUUAGCAUUUUCAAGCAUAAAAGGAUUUAGGUUAUUCCAAAUGGAUGUAAAGAGUGCAUUCUUAAAUGGAUAUAUCAAUGAAGAAGUGUUUGUUUCUCAGCCUCCAGGAUUUGAAGACUACAAACAUCCAGAACACGUGUAUAAGCUAAAGAAGGCACUCUAUUGACUUAAGCAAGCACCCAAACAAUGGUAUGAGAGGCUAAGUGAAUUUAUGCUUUCUCAAGGUUAUAACCGUGGCACCUAUGAUAGAACCUUGUUCAUAAAGAAGAAAAGAGAAGACAUUAUACUUGUGCAAGUCUGUGUGGAUGACAUCAUCUUUGGAUCCACAAAUAAAAAGAUAUGUGAAACAUUUUUAUAUGCAAUGAAAAGUGAAUUUGAGAUGUCAAUGUUGGGAGAAAUGAAUUACUUCCUUGGAUUGCAAGUUAAACAACUCAAGGAUGGAAUCUUCAUAAAUCAAGCAAAGUACUACAAGGAAUUGCUUAGGAAGUUUGAGAUGGACAAAUGCAAAGCAAUCAGCACUCCAAUCUCAACAAGUUGUCAACUGGAUCAGGAUCAUGCAGGAAAAUCAGUGGAUCAAUCAAAAUAUAGAGGUUUAAUUGGUUCUUUACUGUUUUCUGGUUAUUGACCAACAAGUUUAUGACAUUCGUGUGUGGAAAUCCUAACUGAUUUGAUACAUUUAUUGUGCAACAUAUUUGAUUUGUUAGCAAAAACAUGUUUUCAAUAUAUUCAUGCAUCAUUCAAAACUGCACCCUUCUGUACUACAUAAAAUCAAAUUUGUACUGCAUCUGGUUUCUUGAUUUUGUUUUCAAACCUGUGAGUUAUGAAAUACAAUUUGUUGCUCUACAUAAAUCUGGUUUAAAACAAUUGUAUCUCACACUUUCCUUCUUUGCUACAAGUUAUUCAGGUUCACAUUCUUUACUUUAUUAGGUUUUAUAUUUCAUCAUAUGAACUUUGCACUAACAUUCUUUCUAGCUGGAACUAUAUCUCUUGAGGAACAAGUGUAGAUAAAACAGAUUAGCAAUGACAUCUUCUUCACACAGAAAGAAGAAGAAAUCAAGAGAGAAACAACAACAACCAAGGUAUUCUGGAAAACUGGUUUGCUGGAAUUCUGAAGCUAUGACAAAGUUCAUACAUGAGACAAGCAGAAAGAAAAUCAAUGUACCCAAGGUGUUGGAAUUUUCAUGGCUGAGUAGUGAAAAUCUGAUAGAAGCAAAAACCUUUCUCAAGCAUCAAAAGCUGAAACACUUCCUGGAAAUGACUGGAAAUGUCUAUCCAGACCUAGUGAAGGUGUUCUAUAGCAACCUUGUUCAAGAUGACAAGAAUCUUGUUUCCUAUGUGAAAGGAGUGAAGCUAAAAAUCACAAGAGAGGUCUGGAGCAGCAUUGGUGGAAUUAAGUACUCAGGGUUGAAAGUGAGCAAAGGGAAUAUUGAUGGGAUUCAAAAGUUCAACAUGAUGCAGUUUUAUAGAAGCUGUGUGAGGAAUCCCACUGAACCAGUGGUCAGAUUUCAUGAAGGUAAUUUGACUUUAAUUCCAAGACUCUUAGCUCACAUAAUUGCAUGUCAACUCACUCCUAGAGGUAGCAAUCAUGGUGUUCUUCAUGAGGAAGACUUGAUAUUGCUUUACUGCAUAAUGAAUCAACUCAAGGUAAACUGCGUGAGUACUAUGGUGGAACAUAUGCUCAAAUCAACAAGGCUCCCAUAUUAUCGCUUUCCAUAUGCAAUAUUUGUAUCCAAACUAAUUGACUAUUUUGAAGUGGAUACUACAAAUGAAAGAAAUGAUACUAUCAAAGCAUCAAGUGAGAUAGACAAAUCUACUCUCAUGAAAAUGGAUUUUCAUAAGGAGGAAGACAAUUGGGUUUUUAGAAGGAAUGUUGCUCACGGAGUUGAGCAUGAAGCCUCCAAUCAUGGAGAUGCAGAGGAAGAUAAUGUUGGAGUGCCUAUGGAAGAUGAAACUGUGCAGGCUGCAGAAGCAUCAUGCUAUAUGAUGCAUCAUUCAUCAUCACACAGGGUGGAAUCACCAACUCAACCAUCUAUGCAUCACAUGGAGGAAUCACCAGUCCGUUCAUGAAUGAAUGAAGAUGUUGCUGCCACAAACUACAAUGCACUGGUUGCAAACCAAGCACCUGAGUAUAGAGGUGAACCUUUAUCAAUGUUUGAAAGACAUGUUCUGGACAGGCUUGAUACUCUCACAGAUGAUCAAAAGACCUAUUUUGAAAUUACUCAAGCUAGGUUUCAACACCUAGAUUAUCAAAUUGAAGGAGUCCAGGAGCAGCUAGUUGAAAUUUACUACAAGCACAAGUGAUCCUUUUCAAAUCUUUCACUUUUAUGUCUUGUUGAACAAUUUGCUUUUUAAUUUUCUGCACUGGUUGUGUUUUGAUUUCUGAAUUGUAAUAGCACUUCAUGGGUUUUUAUUUUGAACUGUCAUGUAUGGCUAUGGUGUGUUUUUUUUUUUAUUCUAUGCUUCCAUUCUGUCUGAUGAAUCCAAAGGGGGAGAAGAAUAGCUCAAUACAGGUUGUUUUUAGUUGAAGAAUAGCUCAUGUAAGUUGCUGAUCUUGUUCAGGUAUUAAAUUGCAGGGAGGUAUAACACUUCUCAUAUCUGUUAUGCUAUGUUUUACCUUUAAAAGUUUUCUGUGUAUAUUCUGGAAUCUAGUGCAGUACAGGUAUUGACCAUGACCAUCCUUCAAAGCUAUGCAAAGCAAUAUGGAUUUGUCUCCAUCAAACAGGGGGAGAUUGUUGAAGAUGGAUGAAGUUUCUUCUCUGUCAAGUCUUAGUGUGUGUUUGACGAAGAAAAUAGCUAGUUUGCUUUGAAGGUUGUAAUGUGUAAUUAGGUUAUCUUGUAUAUAGGUUAGAGUGAGUUUAAGGUUGCCUUUUGCUUCAUGACCUACCCUAUAUGCCUAAUCAAGGUGGUAAGAUCAAGCACUAGAAGUCAUUCAAUGUUUUCCAAAAAUCUCUUUAAAGUUUCCUAAAAAAAUCAAGUUACUGCACAAAAAUAAAUCUGUUUAUUUGUAAAAAAAUAGAUUUAUUUUUGAAGUGUAGAAAUGUUUUUCAAAAUUCUGUUAAAGCACCAAAGUUUGUUUAAGCAAUUAUUUCAGUUAAGAUGAGCUAGCAGUCCUUCAGAAAAACAAUUUGUUUGUUUGGGAUUUAACCUGUUCUUUUUAUAACAGCUUUUCAACUGUUUUUUGAAAAGUUGUUAGAAACUGAUUUCUAUAUAAAGAAAGGAAUUUCUCACAUGAAAGUUUGUUGUGCAAUCACGGUUUAAAAAGAGAUCAAACGUUUUUUUUUUUUUGUGAGAAGAAGGAUUUGAAUGAGUUUUUGAAAGGUUUUCAAAAAGAACUUCAAGAGUGCUUGUUCUUAGUGUGCCUUGAUCUUGGUGAAGGUGCUAGUGCAAUUGUGCUGCAAUUUGGGCUAUUGGUUUUUAGUUUUUGCAUCUUCUUUCAGGCGUUAUCCUUCCUUAAUUCAUUCUUGUAUAAAGGUGUUUGUGUAAGUCACUUCUUGAUAUAUGGUUUCUUGAAGUGCAAGUAGUACUGAAAUAGAGCUUUUCAGCUUUGGUUACCUAAUUCUUGUAGGGUUCAAGAACUGCAAGGUGUUGUAUUUGUUUGGAACUGUUUUUAGUGAAUUUCACCUUGGAGUGAGGUGAAACUGGAUGUAGCUCGUUAUGAGUGAACCAAUAUAGAUUGUGCUUGCAUCAUUCUUCUCAUCCCUACACUCUUUUCUGAUUAAUUGGAUAAUUUGUCCGAAAAUAAAUUUGUUCGUUUAAAAUUGAAUCUGUUAUUUCUGGGCUUGCUCAUAUUGUUCUAGAAAAUUCUUUUAAUUACAAAUAAAGCUUUCUGAAUCUGAGUGUUGAUUGAUUUAAGGACAAACAGUUUCUUUAUAAUAUCUUUGUUAAAGAUUCACUUUCUUUAAAAGAAUUGUAUAAAAAAGAACUUGUGCUUGAUCUAUUGGUGUAAAUCUUGUUUUUAUAGCUACUGUAAAAAUAACUCAUUUGUUAUGAAGAUUUCUCUGUUUGAUCACAAUACUAAUCAGAACAAGUUCAGGUUUUGUUAAAGUGUAUUGAAAAAUAAAUUUAUUCUUUUCAAGAUCAUUUUGUUCCUUUUCUUAUGAAAUACUGUAAAUCAGUUUGUGUUUGCAAAAAUUUUAUAACUUCAAUUCACCCCUCCCCUCUUGACUACAAGAUACUAAAAGAUCCAUUUUACAUCCUUUAAGUAAGAGUCUUUUAGAUAUUAUUAGAAUCUUGCACGUAGACAAAUGUUAUGCAUAAUAGCACAUUCCAAAAAGGUUUUGAUUUUGUAAAGCCAUUUCAAAAAAUUAGGAUCUUUGUUUUGAAUAUUUCUCAUAAAAUAGCUCUGAGGCCAAUUGUUAUAAAAAGAUGGAUGACUUGUUUUAACUCAAGAGAGAGUGAAUUGAGUUUCAAAUAUUUUUAAAAAAUAAUCCCCUUUCUUUAAGUUCUUUAAUGUAAUUAUUUUCAAACUAAAAAUAUGAAUGCAAUUAUAAUGGAAGCAAAAUUAGAAGAAAUUGGAUUGUAGCACAAAUAUAAUAUGAAAAGGAAAGAAAGAUUGCAUAAAGAAUUUUAUAUUGGUUCGUAUCAACAAGAUUGUGCAUCCAGUCUAAACAAUUGAACCUAAUAUUGUUGAUUCCACUAGUUUAAAAAAGUUAUUACAAACAAAUCAAACAGUUACAAGAGGAUAUCAACAACAGUCCUUGAUCCAAGAAGAUAUUAGCUUUAUAUCAGAUUUUAUAACCCAAUAGAAUAUAUAGUUUAUUAAUUCUUGAUCACCAAGAACCAGAACAAUGGAACAAUUCAGUUAAAAAAACAAAAGAAAACAGAAAAAGUUAUUACCACGCUUUCCAUGGUAGAAGCACACAAUGAUGAACACUUGUACACCCUUGAUUUUGAAAUCUUAAGAGCUAAAAAUGUAAAAGAAAUUUUAAAAAAGGUGAGAUUAUCUCACUUUAAAUUGUAAAUGUGUUAUAUGAAAUAUUUAUCAUGUACUCUAUUUAUAGUUUCAAAAUCAUAGUUUAAAAACUAAUACUAAGGUUUUUAAUCAAUUAUAUUAGCUUUUAAUCCUCUAUUCGAUUUAAAAAAAGUUAGAACUUUUUUCUGUUUUAAUUGGUUAAAAUACUUGUUCAUUGUUAAAAUAGAUGGAGAAGGAGAGGGUAAAGCUAUGAGUUUAAUGAAAAUCAUAAAAUAAAAUAAAAAAGAGGUUAUUUUUUUAGAAUAUUGCUUAAUGAACAUGUAUAUUUGCUUGUAAGAUAAGUGUUAUUAACAACAUUGUUUUAAGUGACCCGUGUAAUUAAUCGUGUAAAAAAUAUUUAUCGAUAUUUGUGUAUUAUUCUAAAAAAAUUUAUAUUAAUGGAUAUAUGACUAAUGAAGUACAUUUAUCUAUGUCUUUGUUAAAUAACUUCAUUUUGAGGUUGUUCAUGUCUUUUAGUUAUCUAUAGUUCCUUUACUUUAGAUUUACUUGGUUAAAAAUUUGAGUUUAUUUUCAUCAAGUAUACUUUUCUUUAUUCUAUUUUAUAUAAAAAAAAAUGCAUUCACAAUGAAUAUGAUACUCUAACAAAAUGUUACGACAUGUUAAACUAAAAAAAAAAAUAUAAGAGAAUUAGGUUAAAUUUAUGAAAAAAAAUAUAAAUAACAAAAAUUUCAAAAAGUCAAAUCUAUCUAUUCAUUAAGAAAGUUGUCCCUUAGUAACAUAAUACAUAUAUAAUAUGAAAGCUUUUAGAAAAAAAAAAAAACAAUCGAAUAUAAGAGUAAAGAAUUUCACCAUAAGAAAAUCAUACUUGGUAUUAAUAGCCAAAUUAGCUUUAAAAUCUAAAAUUUCACUUAUAGACUUCCAUUUACUCUAUAUACUUCUAAUCUUUCAAGAGACCUCAAAGUUGGUAUAAAAAGCUUGAGCCACAGUAGUGAGUGAUAUUCCAACCUUAAUGAAUUACAUACUUUCAAAUGUACAAAUUCAAUAGCAAUCAUAAUCAUGUAAAACUUAGCAAAAAUUACAUUAGCAAUAGUGUUAAAAAUAGUAAAACUACCAGUAAACCCAUAAGUUAAACCUCUAAAAUUACCAACACUAAUAGAAAAACCUCGACAACCCCUAGAGAAGUAACAAACUAGCUAUAGAAAGGAUUUCAAUUUUAUUAAUUUUUUCUAUUUUAUAUAACUAGCUUCUUGGUUGUCUCAUAAAUUUGAGUUUUUAUUUUGUAAUUAGAUUUGUUCCAUCAUUCUUGAAUCACUUCCAACUGCAAAGGUCGUCUUGUGGAACUGAGUCCCUUAGCUGUAGUGGAAGUUGUUGAGUGAAAUGGAUUAGGAGGCACACCAAGCUGGUUUUCCUCUUCAGUUUGUAGCAUGUGUAUCACAGAUUUUAUGGAUGGACGGUUCACUGGCUCCCACUGAAUGCACCAAAGCCCAAUAAUUGCUAGUUUCUUUGCAAUCUUAACAUCACCUUCAUCCUCAACAUGGAUAUGUACAUCUCCAUCAACCAGGUUAUGGAUCCAAUCCGGGUAUAGAACAUGUAAAUUUUGUGGAGAAGACAUGUCCACAUUCUUUCUCCCACCAACCAUUUCUAACAACAGCAUUCCAUAACUGUAAAUAUCGGACUUGUAAGACACGUUCCCAAAGUUUCUGGAGAAGACUUCAGGUGCAAUGUAUCCCAAAGUUCCUCUAGCAGCUGUCAUGGACACCAAACUGGGAUUCUUGGAACACAAUUUGGCUAAGCCAAAAUCAGAGAUUUUUGGAGUGAAGUUGUCAUCAAGUAACACGUUGUGAGGAUUUAUGUCAAAGUGAAUAAUGGGCUGAUUGCAACCUUGAUGAAGAUACUGAAUCCCUUUAGCUAUACCAAGAGCAACGUGUUGAAGCUUCUCCCAUCCAAGGAAAUGGUCCUUGUCUUCUGGUAGAAAUAUGAAGCUUUGUAAGGAACCAUUUGGAAAGAAAUUGUAGACAAGAGCACGAUGGAGUCCAUCUGCACAGAAGCCAAGCAAACGCACCACGUUGAUGUGAUGGAUUUUGCCCAUAAUUCCCACUUCAUUGAUGAACUCAUUCCCAUCUCCCUCCGUACUGUUGAGGAUCUUCACAGCCACCGGAAUCUCACUCGAAAGUUUUCCUCUGAACACAGCCCCAUGAGCUCCUUCUCCUAGCUUUUCUUUGAAGCCAUUGGUGAUUCUUUUAAG
rnacentral:lncRNA from 1 species